GUGGAGAGUAGGCAACGCGCUUGAGAUCGCGUUGGCGCCCAUGGCGACCUCGAGGAUGCCAAACCCUAAUGCUAAAUGCUCCUCGAUCUCCUCAUCCGCUUCUCAGAUCCUUAUGUUGGAACCUUUGGUGUCGACCUCUCCGACGAGGAAAGCGAACGCCGUCUUCGUAGCAGGAGGUCGCUGCGUAGCAGCAGGAAGAGGGAGUUUUCGUUUGAAUUGGAUUUGAUCGUGGGCCGGGAGGAAGAUUCGUGCCACGGGUGAGUUCCAUAGCAGAGCCAUCGAUGGUUUUCAGGAUGGCGGUGUUGUGCUGGAUCAUGGAGCUGGGAGGACAAUCUUUUGUCCGCUAAACUUUUUGAUGCUUUGCCAUCUUUCAUUCUGACGUGUCCUCGGUGUUGUAAUGAGCUGGAUUUUUGACACCAUCAGAAUCUAGGGUUUUGGAAGUAAAUUAGUUUUUUUUCCAGAUGGCCAAAAUUAGGAACUUCUAUAAAAAAAGUAUCAUGAGGUAACUUUUGCCAAUGAUUUCUUGUUUAUGCUUACCACCUGCCUAAAUAUCUAAUCACGUCUGUUCUACUUCUUUGUGAACCACCUGCUUGCCGGUGAUAUUUGGAACUGUUCCGUGAUUCUAUGGUUGUCUAAUUUUCUUCUGCAGAUUGUUCAAUUCUUUGAAUCCCACUUAUUUGCUAUAUCUUGAAGCUAUUGGUUGAUGCUUCCCGUUGAAACUAAUGUGUCUCUUCGACCAGGGUCUUUUAUUGUUCUUGUUUGGAGGUGAUUUCUAGUGUACUUUUAAAGUUACUUCUUCACUCACUGCCUUCUACUGAUAGAACUGUGUUUUCUUGUACCAUACACAUAUGGAGUUGCUCUGUUCAUAGACUUCUCUAUAGCUAUAUUUCUGAAAUAUAGGUUCUUUUGUUUUUUGGGUUGGGAGUGGGAGUUUUGUUUUUGUUUAGAUGGAAGAUCUUUUGUGUUUGUCUCGGACCUGUUUGAGGAGCUCUGUUGGCUUUUUUUUUUUUGAAGUGUAGAAUUCGUGUAUGUGUGAAUUAUGGAUAACAAAACCUCUUCUAGGGUCAAACCUACAGAACGCAGACAUGAGUUGAUCUGCCUUUUGGAUGCAGCGGGUUUCUUCACCUGAUGAAGGAAUUUAGUGACUCAAAUCCGAGAAUUAAUGCUGAUUUCUCUCUUAAAUAUGGCAUUUUGCUGUUUAAAGGAGAAUAUAUUGUUUUACUGAUGUUUUUGGCAAGAAGCGGAAUUAUUGUGUUA